CGAGAUAAAGCCCCACGGAGCGCUCCCCUGGGCGAGAGCCGUGAAAACCCUUUGCGAACUGACAGGAGGAGGAGGCGCUUUCAAGUGGCUCUUCGGUGGGCGGUAAACGAUCUGGGUUGAAGAACUCCUGGCCACCCCGAGAGGGCGACGAGGAGAAACCGGGAGCCUGGUAGCUGCACUCUUAGGCCGAAGCGACUCGGAACUUGUGGGGAUUGGGGAAUCCUCUGGAAAAUCCCGCCAGAACUCAGGAGGCUAUUUUGGGCGAACUAAUGUGGAAGGCGAGGCUGAUGUGAGGAAAAGAAGAGGCAGAGCAGGGGGCGGAGUCAAGAGAGGAAUCAGCCUGGAGUCAUUAUGUUCCUGCAAGCAGUCCAAGUCCAGCUUUACAUGACAGGCUGAGCCUAGGCGCUGGAAGAGAUCUAAGUCUAGUCCACCUUGAAUGCCUUCUUAUUCCUGCUUGUUUCCCUUGACUGUUAAUAGGUCAGAUUCUUAUAGAGAGCUUAAGUUUGCAAUAAAUCUUUAUACUAAUUUGAA